rnacentral:rRNA from 1 species
CAGAGAGGGGGAGGAGAGGGGUGGCGCGGCGGGUGGUGCACGCAGAGGGUUGAUGCGGCGGCGGCGGCGACGGCGGCGGGAGGACGCGACGACGGAUCCGCAGCACCAGGCGGCGAGCGGCGGCGACCUGCCGACCUCCAGCAGCCGUGGGUUCACGGCGGGUGCGAGACCGCGAACGUGCGGCGGCCGGGACGGGGUAGGGUGGGAGGCGGUGGUGGAAGGGGUGGGGCUCGAGCCUAAAUGCUGCGGGUGACGGAAGGUCAAGCUCGAGGCGGAGCUGGAGUAGGGACGACGACGGGAGAAGGGACUUGGUUCCUUCGGGAGUAGACUAUGCGAGAGCAGGCGCUGCACGAAGAGGUUGGUAACCAUGCGCUGCCACCAAGCCAGGCCCUCCACCGAGGACGUUAGGACCGCAGCGGCGUCGCCACCAAGGUAAGGCCGCCGUAGUCCCCUCGUGUGUCUGUGUCGCAGGUGCUCGUCGUUCGUCUCGGCCGGUUACUACGUCGUCGCGGCCGGUACCCCUCUGCGGACGGCACCGCCUGCGCCUCUGUUGUCGGUACCCGCACCUUCUGCCAAAACCUAGGACACUCGGCGGCGGCGACGGCGUGUCUUUCAGUUGCGGCCGGAAGACGACGAGGUACAGGUUGUUCAGCGGGUGCUCCGUAGUCACACCGUAACGAUCGAGGUCGAAGGGGGACGUUAGCAGAGACGGCGGCCGUGAACGUGCGUUAGCACGACCAAAGACAUCAAGUUCUAGUUUCCUUUCUUAGUCGGUUUAUACUACUACUCUUAUUCCGAUUACUGCCUCUUGGAAGUAGAUAGCUUCGACUCGUCAGAUAACCCUUAUGAUUCAAAGUUACGCGUAGGAUUCAAAGUUAAUGGACUUUAUUUCCGGUCAAAGUCAGCUACGGCUUCAUUUGAUGGUGUAUGCACUACUGGAACUCUUUUAGGUACGUGAAGUUAACCUGUCCUCAAAAGACGGUGCAUUAGCUACUACGUGAAGUGCACUGUCUUAACAAAAAAUUUCCUUGAAAACCGUUCUUUAUGUGUUGGCACCGUAAGUCACGACCUGGAGACAAUAACCGUUCUUUAUGUGAUUACACAUCGAGUGACGAUUCCAUUGUAGUUUAAGCAGAUUAUGAACAAGAACGUACAUCUUCAUUUUACGAGAAACUCUUAAGUCAAUAAUCACAGUCAUAUAAGAAGUCAAAUCGUUUGAUACUAACUAACGAGAAAUACGAUUAGAUUUCUUCAAAUCCUGGUAUACAUAAGACUUGUAACCGUUCAGGCGAAUGUAUUUAAGAAGAUAAAACGGUAACGUUGCUCUCUUUUUUUUAUAUAUGUACGUCACGGUUACCUCUUGAACCGGGUUAACUAUUAUAUGGGUAGAACCCGUGAUAUGUAGAUAAAGUAUAGUUGCAAACGAUGACUGCAACACUAUCAAUUACAAAGUAUGAGGUGUAAACAAAGAAAAAGUCUGUUUAGCUCUUGGUAGAUAGUAUCAUAAGUGGAAGAACGUUUAAAGAAUAAAAAAAAUCUUUUCGAUGAAAGACAGAAACUCACGGCCAUUUAGAUUAAAUUAAAAAAUUUAGGUAAAUGCAGAAAGAUUGUGGCGUCUACAAAAAAAUUCGCAAGGCUAUAUACUGUAAAGAACUGGCAAGUAUAAAGUUUGAGGUCAAAAAUUGAAGUAUCUUAGUUAAUAACAUUCAGUUUCGAUUUUCACGCAUAAGAUUAUAAACUAAGGGUUUAAACCAAACAGUGGCGGCAUUCGAGUAUUGAAAUUUGUGGGCAUGGACCGUAGCUUGGCCUUCCGACUAGUUAUAAUCACUAUAGUGGUUCUCCCCCAGCCCUUUGUCAGACGAAAAGUAAAACCUCGAACUGGACAAGUAGGAAAAAGAAAGCUAUUCAACGAGCGGAAGCACGCAAAGAGACGAGGGAAAACAGAAGACAAUACGAUAUUGAGUGAACCAGUAAGUGUUGUCGUGUACAACAGACCCUUACUCAACCCAUAUGUAGUGUACAACCCCAUCUGCUACAGUGUUCGAGACUUGGUGGUGUUGGUUCCCGUAAUUCUGUGUGUAGUAACGCCCGUCUAAGAGACCGACGUCCUUGUUUUCUUUUAUACAGGUAAUCCGAUUAUGUACUUGUACGUAGGGAAAUUCGUGUUUAGACCGGUAUACUUUCCGUAUAGCCGAGUGUGGUGACGGCGGAAGACGCACUGGACACCGUAUUUCACUACGUUCUCAUGAGGAUAGGCCCUUGCUUCCGUGUAAUAACAGACGUGCUACAUAUUUGUUGUUUAGAUCUACUCUUAAUCAGUUGUACAUGUAAGUAUCUCUGCAAACUAGUAACAGGUACUACGUGCAGGGCCCAGUAUGGUUUACUUGAAGGACGUUCCGGCGUCCGUGUUUAUAGACACUCUCAUGAGCCUGGUCCCUUGCUUCGUUGUAGUCCCGAUGUCUUCCUCUAACUACCCAACAGAUGUAUUGUUUUAGUCAUGUCUUACUCCGUCAAAGGACGAUUGGCUUAUCCCAUCUAUCACACAAAUUUAUACCUUGGGUGCAUGCAUUUGAGCGUACGGGUCCGACUAGUUGUUAACAAUUGAGUCUUUCUCCCACAAACCAAUCCAAACGUUCGAGCAGGACGAGAUUGGCACCGUACGGUCAAGGUAGACAAAGGAACACACGAAGGUUCAGACAAUCCGUGUUAACUAGUACAAUUUUGGUAUACUAUGUUGCCUAUCCCCAUAAAUGUGUGAGGUUAUGGACCUCAGUAAACUAUUAACAGUUGUAACAGUCGAUGCCCUUACUAACGACCCAACAUAAGUAAUUGUAAAGGCAGCUGUAAUACCGGACGUUGUGUAAUCGCUCUAUGUUACUAACAACCCGUGGGAACUGUAGACUGAGUAAAUACAAUAAGAUUGCAUGGAACCGAGGGAACACUUACAUCCAGUCGUUCUCCCCCAUAUCCGUGUAGACUGGGGAAAAAGAGAAUGCCGCGGAACGAUAAACGUAAAGGGUAAGCAUGGAUAGUAAAAAGUUGUCGUAAUCAUAACUACACCAUACAUAUGACUUGUUAACCGAACGGUACAUAAAAACCACAAGGUCGACCCUUGUACCCCUUCUUUACUGAUGUAACAUAAAAACCACAAGCUUGACCCUUGUACCCCUUGUAAAUAAGCAUACCGAGGUAACAUGAGGGAGACAAGGAUUUAUAUUCAGAAAAAUCUCUAAGGUUAUAUCUGAUGUAUGCCUGCAUAUAUCUGUAUAAAAUUUCACAUCUAAGUGAGUAAAACGAGACAUGCACCCAGGUAUAACCUUAGAGAUUUUUCUGAAUAUGAGGGAGGCAAGGAUUUAUAUUCAGAAAGAUCUCUAAUGUUAUCUCUGAUGUAUGCCUCGUUUUACUCACUUAGAUGUGAGAUUUGAUACAGAUAUAUACAUCAGAUAAUUUUAGAGAUCUUUCUGAAUAUAAAUCCUUGCCUCCCUCAUAUACCGAGGUAGACCACCGAGGUAGCAUAUACCGAGGUAGACCACUGUCGCAACGCACUAGAAAUGCUCUAGUACUCGCAUGCAUGGAAAUUCUUUCGUUCCAACUUUUGACUAGUCACUUCUGCGGGACGUGACGAACGGCGGCAUCCGCAGCAGCAGCCUCUAGGCACCGCACACCGAUGAGCUCCGCCGCCGCCGCCACAGAACGACUAGGCACUGCUCUAGCACCACACACCCAUGGGCUCAACCGCCGCCGCCGCCACAGAAACAGUUCUGGAUUGGUACUAGCUACACAUCUUAACACAUAUCAUACUAGUCUUGAGCAUACAUGAUCGAGAGUCUAGGGGAAAACAUAAUUAUCUUCAUACUUGAUAUUCUCAUAUUAUCUUC